GAGUUGGGGGUGCCUGAAGUACGUGACCGCAAGGAGCGUCCUAGGGCAAAACCGAUGACUGGGGCUAAGUCGUAACAAGGUAGCCGUACCGGAAGGUGCGGCUGGAACAUCUCCUUUUUGGAG
rnacentral:rRNA from 1 species